CAAGGUUAACCUUGACUAAAGAGCCUCUGAAUGAACGCUUUGUGUAAAGACUGAUAUCUUCACUGAUAACCAGCUCGUGUUACACCGUCUGUUUGUUUCCUGCUAAUGGGCCAAUAGGAUUAUGAAGUCAAACACAGAAGGUACAUACAGUGGCUGCCUGUUGGUCUUCAGGCCUCCAGCGGGGCUGAACAAUGGCUCCUGCUGCUGGGUUAGGGCUAGGGCUAGGGCUAGGGCUAGGGCUAGGGCUAGGGCUAGGGUUAGUGCGUGUGCGUUUGUUUAUCUGUUUGUUGCUCUAACAACAGCAGCUCAAUGCCCGGCUUCCGGUUUAAGGCGGCUUGGUUUGCAGCUACGAGCUAAUGAGGUCACUGAGCUCCUCAGACCGCAGCACUAGAUUAGGGUUAUGAAGGUGAAGGGGAGGGGCCUGCAGCUAAUCCUGUUAGUAUCUUAGAAGUCCUCCAUUGAGCUGAUUAACAACAUUUUUACCAACAUCCCAAAGAACACUGUUGACCUGCAAGGUCUGGCCAAAGGCAGGAGGCUACGGCCAACAGGGCAGGAGGCUACGGCCAACAGGGCUGGAGGCUACGGCCAACAGGGCAGGAGGCUACGGCCAACAGGGCAGGAGGCUACGGCCAACAGGGCAGGAGGCUACGGCCAACAGGGCAGGAGGCUACGGCCAACAGGGCAGGAGGCUACGGCCCACAGGGCAGGAGGCUACGGCCAACAGGGCAGGAGGCUACGGCCAACAGGGCAGGAGGCUACGGCCCACAGGGCAGGAGGCUACGGCCCACAGGGCAGGCUUAAAGAGAUGGCGGACGGCAUUCGGGGUCACUGCUGCAACCCCGAAUGAGAAGCUAAAGUACAACAGCAUUCAAAUGACGAUAUAUCAUCAUCAUCAUCAUCAUCAUCAUCAUCAUCAUCAUCAUCAUCAUCAAUCCAUUAUUUAACCAGGUAGAAAUUCAUUGAGAUCAACAUUUCUUUUACGAAGGGCAAAUCAAAUAGCCCUUCCCUUCAGAUGCCCUGUCCCCUUGCCCAUGUUUGAAUGAGGCCACAUGAAACCCAUCUCAACCAGAAGCCCCACUAUCAGCUCUAACCCUACUAGCCCAACUGGCAGACAUGUUGUUCUCCACAGAAGCUUCUGAUCUGUUGACAACAACGCGCCAAACAACAAAUGUGGAGCUUCCCACCAUCUACAGCUAAG
ensembl:lncRNA